rnacentral:rRNA from 1 species
AUUGAACGCUGGCGGCAUGCUUUACACAUGCAAGUCGAACGGUAACAGGCCGCAAGGUGCUGACGAGUGGCGAACGGGUGAGUAAUGUAUCGGAACGUGCCCAGUCGUGGGGGAUAACGCAGCGAAAGCUGCGCUAAUACCGCAUACGAUCUAUGGAUGAAAGCGGGGGACCGUAAGGCCUCGCGCGAUUGGAGCGGCCGAUAUCAGAUUAGGUAGUUGGUGGGGUAAAGGCUCACCAAGCCAACGAUCUGUAGCUGGUCUGAGAGGACGACCAGCCACACUGGGACUGAGACACGGCCCAGACUCCUACGGGAGGCAGCAGUGGGGAAUUUUGGACAAUGGGCGCAAGCCCGAUCCAGCAAUGCCGCGUGCAGGAAGAAGGCCUUCGGGUUGUAAACUGCUUUUGUACGGAACGAAACGGUCUGGGUUAAUACCUCGGGCUAAUGACGGUACCGUAAGAAUAAGCACCGGCUAACUACGUGCCAGCAGCCGCAGUAAGAC